rnacentral:misc_RNA from 1 species
CAGAGUUAUCCAACUCCCAAACCCAUGUGAACUUAUCUCUUUGUUGCCUCGGGCGCAAGCUACCCGGGACCUCGCGCCCCGGGCGGCCCGCCGGCGGACAAACCAAAACUCUUGUUAUCUUAGUUGAUUAUCUGAGUGUCUUAUUUAAUAAGUCA